rnacentral:rRNA from 1 species
UACAGAGGUCUCAAGCGUUGUUCGGAUUCAUUGGGCGUAAAGGGUGCGUAGGUGGCGCGCUAAGUCAGGUGUGAAAUUUCGGAGCUUAACUCCGAAACUGCAUUUGAUACUGGCGUGCUUGAGACUGGAGAGGAGACUGGAAUUCAUGGUGUAGCAGUGAAAUGCGUAGAGAUCAUGAGGAAGACCAGUGGCGAAGGCGGGUCUCUGGACAGUUCCUGACACUGAGGCACGAAGGCCAGGGAGCAAACGGG